rnacentral:lncRNA from 1 species
AUGCGAGCCCGGGAAUCUCGUCCAGCGAGAGGGUCCCAAACCUGGAAGAGAGCGCGCGCCAGAAAAAAAGAAGAUAGAAAAGGUGGAGAAAGCCUCAACCCAUCCAGAAAAGGUGCAGAUGAGCACCAGCAUGUACUGACAGCCCCCACCCUCACCAGGCAACUUGGUAAAGUCCGUAAGCAGGUUUUCACAGGGUAUGCCCUUCAUUUCCUGAAUCUCCAGGGGUCAAGUGGGCCUUUGUCAUGGGUGGGUUGUUCUGGGCACAAAUUAGGUAUUGUUUGCAAAUGGCUCAGGUGAUGGCAGUGAGCAGUGGUGCAUAGAAACAGUGUCCUAGUAGUGUUUCUAGUCCCAUUUUCCUCCUAUGAGUUUACUGGUGGAAUUGUCUUACAAAUUUGGGGGCCAUCAUUUCAGGGAUGGCUAGCCUCCUAUUGGAGAAUUUUUACCAUCAUCCCUCAAUGUAUUUUCUAGAUUCUCAGGCAAACCAUUCCUUCUCAUUUGGAGAGUAACUUGGGACCUCUGGGAGUGGAGGCCCUGGGAGGAGGGCCAUAGCCAGGGCUUCUUUUCUAGGAUGUGGAGUAGUCAUAGCUUCCCAUUUUGUUUCUCUGUCUGCCAUUUUGUUUCCUUUGUCCUCCAGUGUCCCUGACCUUUGGUGCCCCCUGCAGUGUAUAAAAGUUACUGUCUUGGGGGCCUGUACAGCAUCGAAGACCUGUAGAAUUUCUUCCUUGUACUUUAUUUAUUUUUCUUCAUCAGAUAGCAGUCCUCUCUCCUUGUAUAUAGCUCCAUGAACAUGCAAUGUGGCAGUGGAAUAUUUGGAAUCAAUGUAGACAUUGACCCCCUUUGGUCUCUUGCCAGCAAAACAGUUUUCUUUUGUAGCCUAAAAGCAAUCUGGGCUUGGAGUUUUUGGAGCAGGUCUCUUCUUAGCAAGGGAACUGGGCAAUUUGGGAGGUAUAGGAAUUCAUGUUGGACCUUUUGUGCCCCUAUGACACAUGUCCUAGAAUGGCAGAAUGGCCUUUUCUCUGGGACCCCUUUAGCAUUAACAAUAGUUGCAUGAUUUUUGGAUAGUGGCCUUAUGGGCUUCACUACUGUGUGUUCAGUCCCUGUGUCUACUGUAAAGUAUUUCAGUUGAUCCCCUACUUCCAUUGUGAUCAUGGGCUCCUGGGGGCCUAAGGAGAUGGAGCCUGGUCUUUCCUAGUCUUCAUACCUUUUGGUUCUUCCUAGCCUGAUAGGGUCAAUGUCUGGCUCCUUCUGUGCAGUUGCCCUUG